GACAGAGGAGGCAAGUGAUGUUCGGCAUCAUUGGGCUUAAAGCGCGCGUCGGCGGCCUUGUAAGUGUCUUGUGAAAUCCCACGGCUCACCCGUGGAACUGCAGGGCAAACUGCAAGACUUGAGGUCGGUAGAGGCGCCUGGAACUCUAGGUGGAGCGGUGAAAUGCGUAGAUAUCUAGGGGGACGCCGGGGGCGAGAGCGGGGCGCUGGGCCGAUUCUGACGCUGAUGCGCGAAAGCGUGGGGAGCAAGCAGG
rnacentral:rRNA from 1 species